UACGAAGGGGGCUAGCGUUGCUCGGAAUUACUGGGCGUAAAGCGUGCGCAGGCGGUUUUGUAAGCCAGAUGUGAAAUCCCCGGGCUUAACCUGGGAAUGGCAUUUGGGACUGCAAGGCUUGAGUGCGGCAGAGGAGACUGGAAUUCCUGGUGUAGCAGUGAAAUGCGUAGAUAUCAGGAGGAACACCGAUGGCGAAGGCAGGUCUCUGGGCUGACACUGACGCUCAUGCACGAAAGCGUGGGGAGCAAACAGGAUUAGAGUACCC
rnacentral:rRNA from 1 species